rnacentral:miRNA from 1 species
UCUUAGAUCUACAAUGUCACA